rnacentral:rRNA from 1 species
AAUAGAUACCCGGGUAGUCCACGCCGUAAACGAUGAGUACUAGGUGUAGAGGGUCCAACCUUCUGUGCCGCAGUUAACACAAUAAGUACUCCGCCUGGGAAGUACGAUCGCAAGAUUAAAACUCAAAGGAAUUGACGGGGGCCCGCACAAGCAGCGGAGCAUGUGGUUUAAUUCGAAGCAACGCGAAGAACCUUACCUGGACUUGACAUCCCCUGAAUUACUCGUAAUGGAGGAAGCCCUUCGGGGCAGGGAGACAGGUGGUGCAUGGUUGUCGUCAGCUCGUGUCGUGAGAUGUUAGGUUAAGUCCUGCAACGAGCGCAACCCUUAUCAUUAGUUGCUACCAUUAAGUUGAGCACUCUAGUGAGACUGCCCGGGUUAACCGGGAGGAAGGUGGGGAUGACGUCAAAUCAUCAUGCCCCUUAUGUCCAGGGCUACACACGUGCUACAAUGGUGAGUACAAUUAGAUGCAAACCCGCGAGGGGGAGCCAAACUAAAAAACUCAUCCCAGUUCGGAUUGUAGGCUGAAACUCGCCUACA